GACGAACGCUGGCGGCGUGCUUAACACAUGCAAGUCGAACGGAAAGGCCUCUUUCGGGGGGUACUCGAGUGGCGAACGGGUGAGUAACACGUGAGUAACCUGCCCUUGACUCUGGGAUAACUUCAGGAAACUGGGGCUAAUACCGGAUAGGAGCUCCUGCUGCAUGGUGGGGGUUGGAAAGUUUCGGCGGUUGGGGAUGGACUCGCGGCUUAUCAGCUUGUUGGUGGGGUAGUGGCUUACCAAGGCUUUGACGGGUAGCCGGCCUGAGAGGGUGACCGGCAGCAGUGAGACUGGGAUUCGGCCCAGGCUCCGACGGGGAGGAGCAGUAGGGAAUGGUGAACAAGGGGUGGAGGCCUAAUGCAGCAACACCAAGUGCGGGAUGACGGCCUUCGGGUUGUGGACCGCUUUCGCUCAUGACGGAGCUUUGUGUGACGGUAGUGGGUAAAGAAGCACCGGCUAACUACGUG
rnacentral:rRNA from 1 species